UACAUAUAGAGCCCGGGAUUCCCCCUAGCAACUCUAAGAGGAUCGUCCGCAUUGGACUCAGUAAACCCCCUGACCUGCUGCACUUUUGCCCUAACAAGCCCUACAUUUGGGAUACCGUGUGUUUGGGAUCAAUCGGAGCCAUCCCUCCCCUUUCUCUUUUCUUACUUAUGAGACCCCAUAAGUCGGCCCUGGGGAUAUCCUAAACCGACAAGUUGAGGGUCAAUUUUCAAACCCUGGUUUACCACAAACGAGAGAGAAAAACAGCUUGUAAUCACACACUCCUGUGGCCCCUGAUGAAGGUCUGUUGCUCCAUCAAUAGACCAGAAACGCGUCGGGCAUUUCUCCACUACUCUCUACAGAGUGUUUUUUAAUCUAAUUGUAUUGUAUCUUCACGAGGUUUUAUUUGAGUACUUUCUUGUUGUUUCCUAUUUUCUCCUGGGUCCACACAUGGGACGUGUGCCCCAGGUGUCACUUUAUCACUACUUCUUAUAUGUUUUUUAUUCUUAUUAUACAUAAUUUCUGACUGUUCCAGAAGAUUUCUGUAAUCCAACAUCCAGAAUUACUCUGUAAUUAAGUGUUUACCCAUCUUGGUGCAAAUAUCUAAUAAAUUAAAAAAUUUUUAUAU